UACGUAGGGGGCAAGCGUUGUCCGGAAUCAUUGGGCGUAAAGCGCGUGUAGGCGGCUCGGUAAGUCCGCUCUGAAAGUCCAGGGGCUCAACCCUGGGAUGCGGGUGGAUACUGCCGGGCUCGAGUCCGGAAGAGGCGAGUGGAAUUCCUAGUGUAGAGGUGAAAUUCGUAGAUAUUAGGAAGAACACCAGUGGCGAAGGUGGCUCACUGGCCCGGUACUGACGCUGAGGCGCGAAAGCGUGGGGAGCAAACAGG
rnacentral:rRNA from 1 species